rnacentral:rRNA from 1 species
GACGAACGCUGGCGGCGUGCUUAACACAUGCAAGUCGAACGAUGAAACCGGAGCUUGCUCCGGUGGAUUAGUGGCGAACGGGUGAGUAACACGUGAGUAACCUGCCCUUGACUCUGGGAUAACUGCGGGAAACUGUAGCUAAUACCGGAUACGACCCUCGGAGGCAUCUCCUGGGGGUGGAAAGAAUUUCGGUCAAGGAUGGACUCGCGGCCUAUCAGCUAGUUGGUGAGGUAACGGCUCACCAAGGCGACGACGGGUAGCCGGCCUGAGAGGGUGACCGGCCACACUGGGACUGAGACACGGCCCAGACUCCUACGGGAGGCAGCAGUGGGGAAUAUUGCACAAUGGGCGCAAGCCUGAUGCAGCAACGCCGCGUGAGGGAUGACGGCCUUCGGGUCGUAAACCUCUUUUAGCAGGGAAGAAGCGAAAGUGACGGUACCUGCAGAAAAAGCACCGGCUAACUACGUGCCAGCCGCCGCAGUAA